rnacentral:rRNA from 1 species
AGUGAACGCUGGCGGUAGGCCUAACACAUGCAAGUCGAACGGCAGCACAGUAAGAGCUUGCUCUUACGGGUGGCGAGUGGCGGACGGGUGAGGAAUAAAUCGGAAUCUACUUUUUCGUGGGGGAUAACGUAGGGAAACUUACGCUAAUACCGCAUACGACCUACGGGUGAAAGCAGGGGAUCUUCGGACCUUGCGCGAUUGAAUGAGCCGAUGUCGGAUUAGCUAGUUGGCGGGGUAAAGGCCCACGAAGGCGACGAUCCGUAGCUGGUCUGAGAGGAUGAUCGGCCACACUGGAACUGAGACACGCUCCAGACUCCUACGGGAGGCAGCAGUGGGGAAUAUUGGACAAUGGGCGCAAGCCUGAUCCAGCCAUACCGCGUGGGUGAAGACGGCCUUCGGGUUGUAAAGCCCUUUUGUUGGGAAAGAAACGCAGCAGGUUAAUACCCCGCUGUUCUGACGGUACCCAAAGAAUAAGCACCGGCUAACUUCGUG